UCACCCUGAAACGGUGGAUCACUUGGCUCGUGGGUCGAUGAAGAACGCAGCUAAUUGCGCGUCGACAUGUGAACUGCAGGAUACAUGAACAUUGACAUUUCGAACGCACAUUGCGGUCCUCGGAUACUGUUCCCGGACCACCUCUGGCUGAGAGUCGUAUAACAUUACCAGACUGCCGCUUGCUUUAAACGGCUUGCCGGCGAAUGAUGGAGUUUCGCGUAAAUGCGUGCUCUUAAAUAAUUCACUCAACGUGUGAGCCAGUCCACUUUGCAACAUCGGACAUUACCGUUCGUUGACGUUCUGUGGGAUUACGGCGGGUUGUGUGUCCUAGAGAUUUUAUAUUCUUGCGACCCUCCCGAUAACCGGAAACCCGAACUCUUCGAAAUGCGGUUUCGUUCCGGCAAAUUUGGACGAUUCAAAGGUUCCUCGUCGAUUUUGUGUGCGCUUGCUUACUAACGUUUGCGAGCACAUCAUAAUCAUAAUACGACCUCAGAGCAGAUGAGAUUACCCGCUGAAUUUAAGCAUAUUACUAAGCGGUGGAAAAGAAACUAACUAGGAUUCCCUUAGUAGCGAAGAUGCGCACCCAGAGCGUACACGCUGGGACCCGAAAGAUGGUGAACUAUGCCCGCCAGGUCGAAGUCAGGGGAAACCCUGAUGAGGACCGUAGCGAUUCUGACGGCAAAUCGAUCGUCGGACUGGGUAUAGGGGCGAAAGACUAAUCGAACCAUCUAGUAGCUGGUUCCCUCCGAAGUUUCCCUCAGGAUAGCUGGCAUUCGAUGAGCGAGUCUCCAUCCGGUAAAGCGAAUGAUUAGAGGCCUUGGGCCGAAACGACCUCAACCUAUUCUCAAACUUUAAAUGGGUGAGAUCUCUGGCUUGCUUGAAUAGUGAAGCCAGAGAUUUGGAUCAGAGUGCCUAGUGGGCCAUUUUUGGUAAGCAGAACUGGCGCUGUGGGAUGAACCAAACGCCGAGUUAAGGCGCCUAAACGACGCUAAUGGGAUACCAUGAAAGUCGUUGGUUGCUUAAGACAGCAGGACGGUGGCCAUGGAAGUUGGAAUCCGCUAAGGAGUGUGUAACAACUCACCUGCCGAAGCAACUAGCCCUGAAAAUGGAUGGCGCUGAAGCGUCGUGCCUAUACUCGGCCGCCAGGGCAUGAGAAACGUUCAUAAUAGUUUGUUUUGACGCCCUGGUGAGUAGGAGGGUCGCGGUGGUGUGCGCAGAAGGGUUUGGGCGUAAGCCUGCCUGGAGCCGCCAUCGGUGCAGAUCUUGGUGGUAGUAAUCAAAUACUCCAGCGAGCCCUGGAGGACUGACGUGGAGAAGGGUUUCGUGUGAACAGCCGUUGCACACGAGUCAGUCGAUCCUAAGCCCCAGGAGAAAUCCUAUGUUGAUGUCGGUGUAUUUUAUUUUGAAUAAAAUUUCACACCCAUCGGCGAAAGGGAAUCCGGUUCCUAUUCCGGAACCCGGCAGCGGAACCGUUUACAAGUCGGGCCCUCGCAAGAGAGUUCGUCGGGGUAACCCAAAAUGACCUGGAGACGCCGUCGGGAAAUACGGGAAAGUUUUCUUUUCUGUAUGAGCGUUCGAGUUCCCUGGAAUCCUCUAGAAGGAGAUAGGGUUUGGAACGCGAAGAGCACCGCAGUUUGGCGGUGUCCGUAUCUUCCCCUCGGACCUUGAAAAUCCAGGAGAGGGCCACGGUAGGUGUCGCGCCGGUUCGUACCCAUAUCCGCAGCAGGUCUCCAAGGUGAAGAGCCUCUAGUCGAUAGAUAAAUGUAGGUAAGGGAAGUCGGCAAAUUGGAUCCGUAACUUCGGGAUAAGGAUUGCUCUGAGGAUCGGGGCGUGCCGGGCUGGUUGGGAAGCGGGGCGUAGGCCGAUGUGCCGGCCCUGGGCAAGGUGAAAUUGUCCUUGUGACUUAAUCCGAGCUCGGUCCCGUGUCUAGGCCCCCGCGGAUCUUUCUUGCUGCGAGUUUCUGUGCCGGCUUCGGUCGGUCAGUCGUAUUCUCUUCGGCCGCCAUUCAACGGUCAGCUCAGACUGGCACGGACUAGGGGAAUCCGACUGUCUAAUUAAAACAAAGCAUUGCGAUGGCCCUAGCGGUGUUUGACGCAAUGUGAUUUCUGCCCAGUGCUCUGAAUGUCAACGUGAAGAAAUUCAAGCAAGCCGCGGGUAAACGGCGGAGUAACUAUGACUCUCUUAAGGUAGCCAAAUGCCUCGUCAUCUAACUAGUGACGCGCAUGAAUGGAUUAACGAGAUUCCCACUGUCCCUUCUACUUUCUAGCGAACCACUGCCAGGGAAGGGCUUGGAAAAAUUAGCGGGGAAAGAAGACCCUGUGAGCUUGACUCUAGUCUGGCAUUGUAAGGAGACAUGAAAGGUGUAGCAUAAGUGGGAGAUAGUAAUAUCGUCGGUGAAAUACCACUACUUUCAUCGUUUCUUUACUUACUCGAUUGGGCGGAAAGCGUGCGUCGAAACUUGCGUUCCGACUGUCACGGUUUUCUAGAGCCAAGCGCAUAAGAGUGGUGUGAGCCAUUGCGCCGAUCGCCAACAAUACUCUAGCGUGAUCCGAUUCGAGGAAACUGCUAGGCGGGGAGUUUGACUGGGGCGGUACAUCUGUCAAAUAAUAACGCAGGUGUCCUAAGGCCAGCUCAGCGAGGACAGAAACCUCGCGUAGAGCAAAAGGGCAAAUGCUGGCUUGAUCCCGUUGUUCAGUGUGCACAGGCUGCGAAAGCAUGGCCUAUCGAUCCUUUUGGCUUGAAGAGUUUUUCAGCAAGAGGUGUCAGAAAAGUUACCACAGGGAUAACUGGCUUGUGGCAGCCAAGCGUUCAUAGCGACGUUGCUUUUUGAUCCUUCGAUGUCGGCUCUUCCUAUCAUUGCGAAGCAGAAUU
rnacentral:rRNA from 1 species